UUGACAACAGGAAAAAACAGGGCCAGGAUUAAUAGCGUAGCAUGGAGCUUAUCUUCCCUCUGAGGCCUUGCUUCUCCACCAGGGCUUUGCAAUACAGGGCAAAGACACACAGCAAGGUGAAAAAGUCUGCCAACUGCUUCAGGUUGGUGCCAGCUGAGGCCACCCAGACCACAUCCUCCUUGGCUAGAAUUGAUGGUGUCUGCUCUAAAAGUCUUCUGUGUCAAGAAUGAAUACAGGCUAACGUUUCCUCCCUUGGUGUGAAAUGCUAUCCUUUGGCCUCUGGGAGCAGAAGCCUAAGCCCUGGCACUGAACACCAUCUUGGCUCUGUGUACACAAACACACUUUUCCCUCAUCAAUAUUUAAAUACCCUUUUUAUCAGACCUAAACCAUGUGCUUACCCAAGUGCAUCAACAUCAUAAAACUGUAAAAGUAAAAUAAAGUUAAAUGG